rnacentral:lncRNA from 1 species
GCCUUUUCCAGUGCUCUUCCAACCUCAGCAUAAAGUUCUUCCUCAUGCUGAGGUGGAACUUUCUGUGUUUUAGUUCAUUGCUACUGCUUCUGUCACUGGGCACUCCUUAGAAGUCUGGCACCAGCCAGGCGCUUCAGGCUGGAGACCACGGAGAGACCUCCUUUCAGUCUUCAGCAUCCUUAUGGGGGAAGUUGAGCUUCUCUCUGGUGACAGGACCCAAAAGAGUGGCUUGAAGUGGAGUCAGGGGAUGUUUAGGUUACGUAUCAGGGAAAGGUUUUUCACCCAGAGGUUAGCUGGACACUGGAACAGGCUCCCCAGGACAGUGGUCAUAGCACUAAGUCUAAGAGAGUUCAAGAAGCGCUUGUACAUUUUAAGGCACAUGGUGUGACUCUUAGGAUAUCCUGUGCAGGGCCAGGAGUUACACUUCCUGAUCCUGAUGGGCCCCUUUCAAUUCAGCAAAUUCUGUGAUUCUGUGAUUCUCUUGGCACCUGCCUUUGGCAUACUUAUAUGCGUUAAUGAGAUCCCUCUCUGUUUUCUCUUGACUGAACAGGCCCAGCUCCCACAGCAUCUUCUCGUAUGCGAGAUGCUCCCGACCCCACAUCGUUUUUGUGGCCUCCGCUGGACCCUCUCCAGUAGCUCCUUGUCUUUCUUGCACUGAGGAGCCCAGACCUGGAGACAGUAAAUGAAAGUGAGCACAAACACACUCAGCCACACACGAACCCUGCCUUGCGGCGGGAAGGACAGGGACGGGGACAUCCCCCUCCUGCGGUGCCCGCGCUGAGGGGCGCGCGGCGGCGCAUGCGCGGCGGAAGGGCUGGGGGCCGCCGCCUCCUCCCUCCGCCUCCCCGCGGGCCGGGCCGGGGCGCGCAGGCGCGGCGGGGCCGGGGCGGGCAGGGGCGGCGGGGCCGAGCGGCGGCGGCGGCCGGGGGGAGCGGCCGGGGAGGUUCAGCCGCGCUCUCGCUGUCCCUGUCCCUCCGCGCCAUGUUGUUGUGAGCCCCGGGCGGGCGGGAGGGGAGGCAGGAAGGAGCGGUGCCCAGCGGGAGCGGCAGGAGGAGGAGGAAGGGGCUGGCGGGCGGGCAGGCGUGUCCCAGCGGCCGCUCCGGCUCCAUCGCCGCCAGCCAGCCCGCAUGGAUGAAGUGUCCUGGCUGGAGAUCAGAGGCACGAUGCAUGUGAACAUUGGUCCAGAAGCCAGUGAGAUUGGAGUAGGAUUUGCCCCAGCUGGAACAGUAGCUGCUGUAACAUCAGGGCCCAGUUCAAGUGGAACCACUUCUCACACCAUCCCUGUAACUGUGGUGUCAGGUGCUUCCAGUAUCCAGGUACCCCUCAGUGGACAUUCUCCAGUCCACAGUUGGAAUUUCUUCCAGCAGCAGGCUGGAGGGCAGCUGUGUGUCUGGCAAACACUGCUGGCCCACAGAAGAUGGCAUUCAUAUAGGUCAUACAGUAGAUAG